rnacentral:rRNA from 1 species
GGCAAAAUGCCCCCGUAACUUCGGGAGAAGGGGGGCCCCAACCUUGAGCACCACGUGCUGGUGUGAGGGGAUCGGGGCCGCAGAGACCAGGGGGAAGCGACUGUUUAUCAAAAACACAGGUCCAUGCGAAGUCGUAAGACGAUGUAUAUGGACUGACUCCUGCCCGGUGCUGGAAGGUUAAGGGGACCUGUUAGCUUCGGCGAAGCGGAGAACUUAAGCCCCAGUAAACGGCGGUGGUAACUAUAACCAUCCUAAGGUAGCGAAAUUCCUUGUCGGGUAAGUUCCGACCUGCACGAAUGGAGUAACGACUUCCCCGCUGUCUCAACCAUGAACUCGGCGAAAUUGCAUUACGAGUAAAGAUGCUCGUUACGCGCAGAAGGACGGAAAGACCCCGUGACCUUUACUAUAGUUUGGUAUUGGUAUUCGGUGUGACUUGUGUAGGAUAGGUGGGAGACUGUGAAGCGGGCACGCCAGUGUUCGUGGAGUCGCCGUUGAAAUACCACUCUGGUCACUCUGGAUAUCUAACUUCGGCCCGUGAUCCGGGUCAGGGACAGUGCCUGAUGGGUAGUUUAACUGGGGCGGUUGCCUCCCAAAAUGUAACGGAGGCGCCCAAAGGUUCCCUCAGCCUGGUUGGCAAUCAGGUGUCGAGUGCAAGUGCACAAGGGAGCUUGACUGUGAGAGUGGCAGCUCGA